rnacentral:rRNA from 1 species
AUAGUGGGGGAUAGCCUUUCGAAAGGAAGAUUAAUACCGCAUAAGAUUGUAGUAUCGCAUGAUAUAGCAAUUAAAGGAGCAAUUCGCUAUAAGAUGGACCCGCGUCGCAUUAGCUAGUUGGUGAGGUAAUGGCUCACCAAGGCGACGAUGCGUAGCCGACCUGAGAGGGUGAACGGCCACAUUGGGACUGAGACACGGCCCAGACUCCUACGGGAGGCAGCAUG